GACAGAGUGGUGUAGUGGUUUGAGCACUGGACUACAACUUUGGACAUCAGGGUUCAGUUCCCUGUUCAGUCA